AGUGAACGCUGGCGGCAGGCCUAACACAUGCAAGUCGAACGAGUGGCGGACGGGUGAGUAAUGUCUGGGAAACUGCCUGAUGGAGGGGGAUAACUACUGGAAACUGUCGCUAAUACCGCGUACCAUAGGAUGAGCCCAAGUGGGAUUAGGUAGUUGGUGGGGUAAUGGCCUACCAAGCCGACGAUCUCUAGCUGGUCUGAGAGGAUGACCAGCCACACCGGGACUGAGAAACGGCCCGGAUUCCUACGGGAGGAAGCAGUGGGGAAUAUUGCGCAAUGGGGGCAACCUGACGCAGCCAUGCCGCGUGAAUGAAGAAGGCCUUCGGGUUGUAAAGUUCUUUCGGUGACGAGGCGUUAAUCACAGAAGAAGCACCGGCUAACUCCGUGCCAGCAGCCGCGGUAAUUC
rnacentral:rRNA from 1 species